CAGGAGGAGGAGGAGGGAGCAAGCGAGAGGGGGCGCGGCGGGAGCCGGCCCGGGAGAGGCUGGUUAGCGGGCCACAGCCAGAGGCGCUGGCACAUCCAAGACCUGAGGAGGACCCGAAGCUGGUUAAGCUGGGAACUAAGGCCCCCACCCAGGUGGAGGAUAGAAGCUACACGCUGAGACCUCAGACUGGUGGAACCUGUGGGAUGAUGAUGUUGAAAACCUUUUCUGACCCUCCUGAUUUCAGUCCACUAAAGCUUAGACUCUGUCAAUCUUUGCUCCAUUCUGUGCUGAGUUCUCCUCUGCUCAGGCCUCUUCAUGAAUAUGCAUACACCUUUAGCUUAAGACGUCCCCAGUUUUGCUGGUCAGAGAGACACUGCUUUGGGAGAAAUCCUCGGUGUUCUUACUUGCUGCAAAUAAUAAAUUCUUCCUUC